rnacentral:rRNA from 1 species
UACAGAGGGGGCGAGCGUUGUUCGGAAUUACUGGGCGUAAAGGGCGCGUAGGCGGCCACGCACGUCCGUUGUGAAAUCGCCCGGCUCAACUGGGCGGGGUCAGCGGAUACGGUGUGGCUCGAGCAAGCUAGGGGGCAAUGGAAUUCCCGGUGUAGUGGUGGAAUGCGUAGAUAUCGGGAGGAACACCAGUGGCGAAGGCGGUUGCCUGGAGCUUUGCUGACGCUGAGGCGCGAAAGCGUGGGGAGCGAUCCGG